AAGGAAUAUUGGGCAAUGGGGGCAACCCUGACCCAGCCAUGCCGCGUGCGGGAUGAAGGCCCUUUGGGUUGUAAACCGCUUUUACUUGGGAAGAACAUGCAGGGUUUACCUUGCACUGACGGUACCAAGGGAAUAAGGACCGGCUAACUCCGUGCCAGCAGCCGCGGUAAUACGGAGGGUCCGAGCGUUAUCCGGAAUUACUGGGUUUAAAGGGUACGUAGGCGGCCAUUUAAGUCGGGAGUGAAAUGCUACAGCUUAACUGUGGAAUUGCUUCCGAUACUGAUUGGCUUGAAUCAGGAUGAGGUAGGCGGAAUGCGCUAUGUAGCGGUGAAAUGCAUAGAUAUAGCGUAGAACACCAAUUGCGAAGGCAGCUUACUAGACCUCGAUUGACGCUGAGGUACGAAAGCGUGGGUAGCGAAC
rnacentral:rRNA from 1 species